GAUGAAUGCUGGCGGCGUGCCUAAUACAUGCAAGUCGAGCGGUAAGGCCCUUCGGGGUACACGAGCGGCGGACGGCUGAGUAACGCGUGGGAACAUGCCCCAAAGUGAGGGAUAACGCACCGAAAGGUGUGCUAAUACCGCAUAUGGUCUUCGGAUUAAAGGAUUUAUCCGCUUUGGGAGUGGCCUGCGUACGAUUAGAUUGUUGGUGAGGUAACGGCUCACCAAGUCGACGAUCGUUAACUGGUCUGAGAGGAUGAUCAGUCAGACUGGAACUGAGACACGGUCCAGACUCCUACGGGAGGCAGCAGUAAGGAAUCUUCCACAAUGGGCGAAAGCCUGAUGGAGCAACGCCGCGUGCAGGAUGAAGGCCCUCGGGUCGUAAACUGCUUUAUGAGUGAGAAUAUGACGGUAACUCAUGAAUAAGCACCGGCUAACUACGUGCCAGCAGCCGCGGUAAU
rnacentral:rRNA from 1 species